rnacentral:rRNA from 1 species
AGGUCUUGACAUCCCUCUGAAUAUCCUAGAGAUAGGGUAGGCCUUCGGGACAGAGGAGACAGGUGGUGCAUGGUU